rnacentral:misc_RNA from 1 species
AGUAGCCGCGGUAAUUCCAGCUCCAAUAGCGUAUAUUAAAGUUGUUGCAGUUAAAAGCUCGUAGUUGAAUUUCGGGAUCAAUACGUCGGUCGUGCUUCGGUACGUACUGGCGUAAUUGAUUUCUCCCUUCUGACGAACCAUGAUGUCAUUAACUUGGUGUCAUGGGAAAUCAGGACUGUUACUUUGAAAAAUUAGAGUGUUUAAAGCAGGCUCACGCUUGAAUACAUUAGCAUGGAAUAAUGAAAUAGGACGUUCGAUCCUAUUUUGUGGUUUUAGGA